GACCCUAUAGAGUUUUAUAAAUCUAAAUUUUGGGGUCUUUUAGUAUUUAAUAUCUCAAGUUUUAGAUUUAUUUAGUUGGGGUGACUAAAAAAUUUGAUUAACUUUUUUAUAUUUCUUCCACUUAUUUGUGAAUUUUUGAUCCAUUAUUUAUGAUUAAUAGAUAAAAUUACCUUAGGGAUAACAGCGUAAUUUUUCUUGAGAGUUCUAAUCGAAAGAAAAGUUUGCGACCUCGAUGUUGGAUUAAAAUAAACUUCUGGUGUAGCAGCUAGAAAAGUUUGGUCUGUUCGACCAUUAAAAUUUUACAUGAUCUGA
rnacentral:rRNA from 1 species